UACGUAGGGUGCAAGCGUUAAUCGGAAUUACUGGGCGUAAAGCGUGCGUAGGCGGCUAUGUAAGACAGAUGUGAAAUCCCUGGGCUUAACCUAGGAACUGCAUUUGUGACUGCAUUGCUAGAGUGUGGUAGAGGGAGAUGGAAUUCCGCAUGUAGCAGUGAAAUGCGUAGAUAUGCGGAGGAACACCAAUGGCGAAGGCAAUUUCCUGGACCUGCACUGACGCUCAUGCACGAAAGCGUGGGGAGCAAACAGG
rnacentral:rRNA from 1 species